AUUUUCUUCUUAAAUACUUGCUAAGUGCACUUGAGUUCACUCACUUAGUGCUUUCAAUUUUUUUCUCUAAUUUGGUGUUAUUCAGAUGGAAGAAGAUAUUGUUUUAAUGGAUGGGAAGUAUGAUCUCUUUCUUAUUUAUAAAUAUGAAAUUGUGAGCAUGAUUAAAGGCUUAAACGUAUUUUAUUGGAUGUAUUUUUUUAUAUAAUGCAUCCAUUCAUUAAGAGUUGUAUCUCUUAGAGUCACUAUCAUUAGAUCGGAUGCUUCUUUUCAUGAAAAUGCAUCUUUUCAUUUUUAAGAGUCUCCAAAAGAGCCCAUUUACAAAGUAUCCAUUUGGGUGCAUUGUGAGAAGAUAAAGUAUUUCUAUGCUUCUUUUUAAGAUACGGCAUGAGAAAUACUUGGAGAUGCCCUCAUGGAAUUUUCAUAGAAUUUUAAGAGAGGAUACAGAAAAAAAGAUAAAAACUAAGUUUAAUCUUUUUAAAGACCAAGUUAUUUGGUAGUCCAAGAUAAAUAUUUAUAUUUAUAUAAGUUUAUCUUUAGAUAAUAUUCAAUAUGGAAUUCUAAAAUCUCAAAAAUUUGAAUUAAAUAUUUUAUUAGUAAAGCAACACUCCUCAUCCAAUUGACUUAUUCACAUUUGUCUUAUUGCACGUUCUCAACGGUAGGCUAUUUUAUAGAAGCUUACCACCUCUGUUGAUCCAUUUGUAGCAGGUCCUGCCUCAUGUACAACCUUGCCUAAAAGAACCUACCUCUGUUAAUGGAUUCAGAAUAAUCUUUCUCUAGCUGCUGUUCAGGAUUCCCGUUCACAAUUUGUGACUUCGCCGCUAGAAAAUAAUUAUUAAAAUUUAAAUGUUGAAUCUGAUAUUUAAUAGUGUGUAUAUAUAUAUAUAUAUUUUAUGAAUGCCUCCUUCCUAUUUCCAUCAUCUAUAUAUAAAUUCUACAAGAUCCUCGGCAAUCCACAUUUCCCACAAGCGUCCACCAUAGGCUACAUGUAUAUAUAAAGUAUCUAAAUCCUAACAAAUUGUGACUUUUUUGUUUAUAACAAACUGUAAAUAUAAACCUUGCUGGAUAAUAAUUCGAGUUAAUGUUCAACCAGUUCCACCAUAAGUAGAGUUUGAAGAAGCCGGCAUAAAACAUUGCUUCUUUAUUCAUAUUCUUUUUAGCUAAGCUUGAUCCUUUAAAUCCCAGAAGGCGCACUCAUACUAAGGUCCUAUAACAAAAUUAAAAUAAAUAUCACACAUAGAAAGCAAUAUUCAACAUGGUUCCACAAACUUUUGUCUAUAUCCAUGGAUGAGAAGAGAUGGUCUAUUCUACUCUUAGAGCCAUUUUUUGGUGGGUAAAUACUAUGAGUAAGUUGGUCGAUUUUUUCAUUGGUCAACUUACUCAUAUUUUCAUAUUUUUUUAAAUAGAUAGAUUAUUUUUUAUUAAUUUAAAAAAUAAUUUUUUAUUUUAUUUUUAAAAUAUUUUAAAUACAAAAUAAUAAUAUAAUUAAAAAAUAAUAUAAUAUAAAUAUAAUUUUUUAAAAAAUGAUCUAUUUUAUUCUUAGGGCUAUUUUCUGACGGGUAAAUAUGAGUAAGUUGGACGAUCUUUUUAUUGAUCAAUUUAUUCAAUUUUCAUACUUCUCUGGAUAAGUCAGUCAUUUUUUUUAGUAAUUUAAAUAUUAUUUUUUAAUUUUAUUUUUAAAAUAUUUUAAAUAAAUAAUAAUAAUAUAAUAUAAUGUAUAAUUUUAUAAUAUAUAAUAAUAUAUAUUAUUUGAGGUGGUGGAGAGAAAACCGAGUGGAGAAGGGGCCUACUGGCUGCGUGCGAUUGCAUUGGCGAUGGUACCCGGAGCAGGAAAUAUCUCGCAUCCGAAGGAGGAUCCAUGGACCCUGGCCAGCAUGAGUUAGUGAAAAAAAAAAGAAAAAAUGUGGCUCACGCCGCAUCCCCAUUCGCUUUCGAGAGGGAGGAGCAUGAUUAUGUCGCAUCCGCAUUCGUCCACGAGAAGGAAAAGCAUAGCAAGCUACGGCAUGGAAGUUGACUUUGCCUAUUUUUCUUGGACAGGAAUGUGCCAUGUAUGUAGGGCAGAAUCCACUCUAAUCUCAGAUGGUACGACCACUAAUGAGGAUCUGUCCUCCUCAAUCUGACGUGUAGCGCAAAAACAUGUUUUUUUUUUUUUCUUCCAAUUUGAUGUGUCCACGAGGGCCUUCUUUCUUUAA